UAAGGUGUGCAGCCGCUCACAUGGUGACAUGAAGUGUUCCUGUGUGCGCCGUUAGAGUUUGUAGGACGGAGAGCAGAGAGGGGCGAAAGGGGAAGAGGGGAAGAGUCUGUCGGGCAACAGCGGAGGAGAAAAACGACAUCAACCAGCUGCACCGGUGUCACGUCUCAUUUUGGAGCGAUGCUCAUCAAAUACUUCAUCACCGGCCCCUCUCAGUUUCACUGCAGACGCUGGCUGACCUCAUCGAGUGACCUCACCAAUCACAGAUCAAAGUCUUCGGGUUUCUGGCUGGUCAGGUUAAUCAGAGGACCACCCUGAAGAACCAAUCAGGUAAUUGAAUAAAUUCCCAGAGCUCUGUGUGGAAUUAGAAGAAGCUGGUCUUUGGUCAGAGGAGAGCUUUUAAGAAACCGGGGAACGCACAUCAGAGGCCAAGCAGUCGAUGAAAACACGGAAUCGAGGCUGUCUGUCUGGAUCAGGGGCUGGGCCCUUGACCCCUGAAUGUCCCCUCCGAAGCAGACGGCAGGGUUUUAUUGGCCAGUCAGACUCAAUUUAUUAAACACUAUGCAACUC